CGCACUUCCCGUGACACUCACAUAAUGGCCUUGCUGCGUUCUCUGCUAGGGGCGGCGGCCCGUUAUAAUUUUACGUUUGCGGCACGUCAUAUCCCAGGCGUAGCUAAUCCCAUCGCUGAUGCAAUCUCUCGUUUCAAUUGGUAGGUGUUUCGUCAGCUAGCCCCCAAUUGCUCAUCGCUACCAACACCUCUUCCAGCAAUCCUAUUGCAUCGGCUGUCGCCAGGGACCUAGAAACCCAAUGCCAUAGUUUACUUUGUCACAGUUUAGCGUCGUCAACCCAUAAAACCUACGCUUCUGCCCAACGGUCAUUUCUGCAAUUUUGUGAAUCCGAAAAUCACUUGAACUCGAA